AUCGAACGCUGGCGGCAUGCCUAAUACAUGCAAGUCGAGCGAGCGGCGGACGGGUGCGUAAGGGCUGGGAAACUGCCUGAUGGCGGGGGAUCACUACUGGAAACGGUAGCUAAUACCGCAUACCAUCAGAUUUGCCCAGAUGGGAUUAGCUAGUGGGUGGGGUAAUGGCUCACCUAGGCGAGGAUCCAUAGCUGGUCUGAGAGGAUGACCAGCCACACUGGAACUGAGACACGGUCCAGAAUCCUACGGGAGGCAGCAGUAGGGAAUAUUGCACAAUGGGCGAAAGCCUGAUACAGCCAUGCCGCGUGAGUGAAGAAGGCCUUCGGGUUGUAAAGCCCUUUCAGCAGGGAGGCGUUACCCAAAGAAGAAGCACCGGCUAACUCCGUGCCAGCCGCCGCGGUAAUUC
rnacentral:rRNA from 1 species